rnacentral:rRNA from 1 species
AACGAACGCUGGCGGCAUGCCUAACACAUGCAAGUCGAACGAGACCUUCGGGUCUAGUUGCGCACGGGUGCGUAACGCGUGGGAACCUGCCUUUAGGUUCGGAAUAACUCAGAGAAAUUUGAGCUAAUACCGGAUGAUGUCUUCGGACCAAAGAUUUAUCGCCUUUAGAUGGGCCCGCGUUGGUUUAGCUAGUUGGUGGGGUAAAGGCCUACCAAGGCGACGAUCCAUAGCUGGUCUGAGAGGAUGAUCAGCCACACUGGGACUGAGACACGGCCCAGACUCCUACGGGAGGCAGCAGUGGGGAAUAUUGGAAAAUGGGCGAAAGCCUGAGCCAGCAAUGCCGCGUGAGUGAUGAAGGCCUUAGGGUUGUAAAGCUCUUUUACCCGAGAUGAUAAUGACAGUAUCGGGAGAAUAAGCUCCGGCUAACUCCGUG